GGAUCUGCGGCGGCAGUAUGCCGAGACCACACGGGUAACUAUCUGGGAAGUUCAGCACUUGUCAUUCCGGGAAUAACGGACCCACCAACGUUGGAGGCGAUAGCAUGUCGAGAAGGUCUUGCUUUGGCCGAGGAUCUUUUGUUGAGCAACCUGAUUAUCGCGUCGGACUGCAAGCGGGUUGUAGAUGACAUCAAACAAGGCAACCAGGGAGCAUAUGGUUCGGUGAUUACAGAAAUAAAACUUCGUUCUUCGGUUUUUGCUUGUAAUUUUGUUUUUCCAAGCCGUUCUUCAAACGGUGAAGCUCAUAGUUUAGCUAAACAUGCUCUUUCUCUCGGUGCGGGGCGCCACACUUGGUUGGUAAACCCCUAUGAUCCGAUUUGUAUCCCGCCUCGUGUGGAAUAUCAUCAAUAA
rnacentral:rRNA from 1 species